AGGGCAUGGUGAUGAAGCUUUUGGUGUUCUGAGAUUUUCAUCUUUGAUGAAUCCAAACCCUCCUACUCAUUCUGA
rnacentral:snoRNA from 1 species